GCCUCUCUCUAUCAUCCUGAUCACACCAGAUCUCAUCUGAUCUCAGAAGUUAAGCAAGGUCAGACCUGGUUAGUACUUGGAUGGAAGACCACAGACUUCUAAAGAGAAAUCUUGGAGAGGCU
ensembl:rRNA 5S_rRNA 5S ribosomal RNA